rnacentral:rRNA from 1 species
UGGAAGCGUCUGGAAAGGCGUGCGAUACAGGGUGACAGCCCCGUACACAAAAAUGCACAUAUUGUGAGCUCGAUGAGUAGGGCGGGACACGUGGUAUCCUGUCUGAAUAUGGGGGGACCAUCCUCCAAGGCUAAAUACUCCUGACUGACCGAUAGUGAACCAGUACCGUGAGGGAAAGGCGAAAAGAACCCCGGCGAGGGGAGUGAAAAAGAACCUGAAACCGUGUACGUACAAGCAGUGGGAGCCUCUUAAUGGGGUGACUGCGUACCUUUUGUAUAAUGGGUCAGCGACUUAUAUUCUGUAGCAAGGUUAACCGAAUAGGGGAGCCGAAGGG